rnacentral:rRNA from 1 species
AUUGAACGCUGGCGGCAUGCCUUACACAUGCAAGUCGAACGGUAACAGGUCUUCGGAUGCUGACGAGUGGCGAACGGGUGAGUAAUACAUCGGAACGUGCCCGAGAGUGGGGGAUAACGAAGCGAAAGCUUUGCUAAUACCGCAUACGAUCUCAGGAUGAAAGCAGGGGACCGCAAGGCCUUGCGCUCACGGAGCGGCCGAUGGCAGAUUAGGUAGUUGGUGGGAUAAAAGCUUACCAAGCCGACGAUCUGUAGCUGGUCUGAGAGGACGACCAGCCACACUGGGACUGAGACACGGCCCAGACUCCUACGGGAGGCAGCAGUGGGGAAUUUUGGACAAUGGGCGCAAGCCUGAUCCAGCCAUGCCGCGUGCAGGAUGAAGGCCUUCGGGUUGUAAACUGCUUUUGUACGGAACGAAAAGACGCUGGUUAAUACCUGGGGUCCAUGACGGUACCGUAAGAAUAAGCACCGGCUAACUACGUGCCAGCAGCCGCUGUAAGAC